rnacentral:lncRNA from 1 species
CUACUUUCCACAAGUUUAACUAUGACUAACGAGACGUGUUUCACAUUGUCUGAUAUUUAUGAGUUUCUUAACUUGGUUAUAACAUGUUGAGCAGUGGCUAGAUUAAGAGGUUAGGUUAUGCGUAUUAGGAUUAGAUAGUGUUAGAAUAGAUAACCUCCUGAGAAGUGGGCUGUCAUAGACACUAAUUGGUUCUCAUCCACUCAUGAGAUCCGGAGGGACCUUCAUAUACUAUAAGGGGCCGCUUGGUUAGAUAUAAUUAUAAAGGCAGUGUAGCUAGAGAUGCAUGCAGUUGUAAAUACAACAAUUACAACUAUAUUAAUUAAUCCUGUUUGGCUAGGUUAAAAGGUUAAGAGGAUUAUGCGUACUAGGAUUCGAAAGUUUUAGAAUAGGUGAGGCGCUGAAAAGUGGGUUGUCAUACCUAGA